UGGGGAAUAUCGCACAAUGGGCGAAAGCCUGAUGCAGCAACGCCGCGUGAGUGAUGAAGGCCUUCGGGUUGUAAAGCUCUGUCUUUUGGGACGAUAAUGACGGUACCAAAGGAGGAAGCCACGGCUAACUACGUGCCAGCAGCCGCGGUAAUACGUAGGUGGCAAGCGUUGUCCGGAUUUACUGGGCGUAAAGGAUGCGUAGGCGGAUUUUUAAGUGAGAUGUGAAAACCCUAAGCUUAACUUGGGGACUGCAUUUCAUACUGGAAAUCUAGAGUGCGGGAGAGGAGAAUGGAAUUCCUAGUGUAGCGGUGAAAUGCGUAGAGAUUAGGAAGAACACCAGUGGCGAAGGCGAUUCUCUAGACCGUAACUGACGCUGAGGCAUGAAAGCGUGGGUAGCAAACAGGAUUAGAUACCCUGGUAGUCCACGCCGUAAACGAUGAGUACUAGGUGUAGGAGGUAUCGACCCCUUCUGUGCCGCAGUUAACACAAUAAGUACUCUGCCUGGGGAAGU
rnacentral:rRNA from 1 species